rnacentral:rRNA from 1 species
UACGUAGGGUGCGAGCGUUAAUCGGAAUUACUGGGCGUAAAGCGUGCGCAGGCGGUUGUGCAAGACAGAUGUGAAAUCCCCGGGCUCAACCUGGGAACUGCAUUUGUGACUGCACGGCUGGAGUGCGGCAGAGGGGGAUGGAAUUCCGCGUGUAGCAGUGAAAUGCGUAGAUAUGCGGAGGAACACCGAUGGCGAAGGCAAUCCCCUGGGCCUGCACUGACGCUCAUGCACGAAAGCGUGGGGAGCAAGCAGG